CUUUAUUGGAGAGUUUGAUCCUGGCUCAGGAUGAACGCUGGCGGCGUGCCUAAUACAUGCAAGUCGAGCGAAUGGAUUGAGAGCUUGCUCUCAAGAAGUUAGCGGCGGAC
rnacentral:rRNA from 1 species